UCAAGCGUUUAAGAGCAUAUAGUGGAUGCCUUGGCACUGAAAGCCGAUGAAGGACGUGAUAUACUGCGAUAAGUUUCGGGGAGCUGUUUGUAGGCUUUGAUCCGGAAAUUUCCGAAUGGGAAAACCCAACUCUUUAAGAGUUACCUUGCACUGAAUACAUAGGUGUAAGGAGAUAACCUAGGGAACUGAAACAUCUAAGUACCUAGAGGAAAAGAAAUCAAUUGAGAUUCCGUUAGUAGUGGCGAGCGAACGCGGAACAGGCCAGUAACUUUUUUUGUACAACUAGAAUAACCUGGAAAGGUUAACCAUAGAGGGUGAUAGUCCCGUAUAGGUAAAAGCAAUUAAAGUUCUCGAGUAAGGCGGGACACGUGAAAUCCUGUUUGAAGAUAGGGGGACCACCCUCUAAGCCUAAAUACUCUUCAGUGACCGAUAGUGAACUAGUACCGUGAGGGAAAGGUGAAAAGAACCCCUAUUAGGGGAGUGAAAUAGAUCCUGAAACUGUAUGCUUACAAACUGUCGAAGCCCCAUGUGGGUGACGACGUACCUUUUGUAUAAUGGGUCAGUGACUUAAUUUAUGUAGCAAGCUUAAGCCGUUUAGGUGUAGGCGUAGCGAAAGCGAGUCUUAAUAGGGCGAUUAGUUACAUGGAUUAGAACCCGAAACCGAGUGAUCUAGCUAUGAGCAGGUUGAAGGCAAGGUAAUACUUGCUGGAGGACCGAACCAGUUGACGUUGAAAAGUCUUUGGAUGACUUGUUGCUAGGGGUGAAAGGCCAAUCAAACUCGGAGAUAGCUGGUUUUCCGCGAAAACUAUUUAGGUAGUGCGUCAUAUGAAUACCAUCGGGGGUAAAGCACUGGAUGGGCAAGGGGGAAGAAAUUCUUACUAAGUCCAACCAAACUCUGAAUACCGAUGAGUAAUAUAUGGCAGACAGACUACGGGUGCUAAGGUCCGUGGUCGAGAGGAAAACAGUCCAGACCAACAGCUAAGGUCCCCAAGUUAUUGUUAAGUGGGAAAGGAUGUCGGACGACCAAAACAGCCAGGAGGUUGGCUUAGAAGCAGCCAUCCUUUAAAGAAAGCGUAACAGCUCACUGGUCUAAAUAAGUUGUCCGGCGCCGAAGAUUUAACGGGGCUAAACAAUACACCGAAGCUUUGGACACAAUUUAUUGUGUGGUAGCGGAGCGUUCCGUACGUUGUUGAAGGGAGACUCGUGAGAGCUCCUGGAGAUAUCGGAAGUGAGAAUGCUGACAUGAGUAGCGACAAAAAGUGUGAGAAACACUUUCGCCGAAAAUCCAAGGGUUCCUGCGCAAGGCUAAUCCGCGCAGGGUGAGUCGGCUCCUAAGGCGAGGUCGAAAGACGUAGUCGAUGGGAAACAGGUUAAUAUUCCUGUACCUGAUGAGAUGUGACGGAUGACGUAUAUUGUAUACCCUUAUAAUGAUUGGGUGUGCAGUGAAGUUGUUCCAGGAAAUAGCCUCAUCAUUAAAGACCGUACCCGAAACCGACACAGGUGGAUAGGUAGAGUAUACCAAGGCGCUUGAGAGAACUAUGUUGAAGGAACUCGGCAAAAUACCUCCGUAAGUUCGCGAGAAGGAGGCCCGGUUUCUAGGCAACUGGAAGCUGGGGGCACAAACCAGGGGGUGGCGACUGUUUACUAAAAACACAGGGCUCUGCGAAGUCGUAAGACGACGUAUAGGGUCUGACGCCUGCCCGGUGCCUGAAGGUUAAAAGGAGGGGUGAGAGCUCCGAAUUGAAGCCCAGGUAAACGGCGGCCGUAACUAUAACGGUCCUAAGGUAGCGAAAUUCCUUGUCGGGUAAGUUCCGACCUGCACGAAUGGCGUAACGACUUCCCCGCUGUCUCCAACAUAGACUCAGUGAAAUUGAAUUGCCUGUCAAGAUGCAGGCUUCCCGCGGUUAGACGGAAAGACCCCGUGCACCUUUACUACAACUUUACACUGAUAACAGGCACAAUAUGUGCAGAAUAGGUGGUAGGCUUUGAAGCAGGGACGCCAGUCCUUGUGGAGCCUCCUUUGAGAUACCACCCUUAUU
rnacentral:rRNA from 1 species